rnacentral:rRNA from 1 species
CCUACGGGUGGCAGCAGUGGGGAAUAUUGCACAAUGGGGGAAACCCUGAUGCAGCGACGCCGCGUGAGUGAAGAAGGAUUUCGGUAUGUAAAGCUCUGUCAGCAGGGAAGAAAAUGACGGUACCUGAUUAAGAAGCGCCGGCUAACUACGUGCCAGCAGCCGCGGUAAUACGUAGGGGGAAAGCGUUAGCCGGAUUUAAUGGGUGUAAAGGGAGCGGAGACGGGAGCACAAGGCUGGGGGGAAAUGCCGGGGCUUAACCCCGGAACUGCUUUGGAAACUGGGCAGCUAGAGUGCAGGAGAGGUAAGUGGAAUUCCUAGUGUAGCGGUGAAAUGCGUAGAUAUUAGGAGGAACACCAGUGGCGAAGGCGGCUUACUGGACUGUAACUGACGUUGAGGCUCGAAAGCGUGGGGAGCAAACAGGAUUAGAUACCCGAGUAGUC